AUUAUAUACUUGGGGGGAUGGCACACACAAUGCUGGGCUUCUAGGUAAUGGCACUGAUGUCAGCCACUGGAUACCAAAGAGAAUAUCAGGCCCUUUGGAAGGACUUCAAGUUGCAUCAGUAACAUGCGGUCCAUGGCAUACUGCUUUAAUAACAUCAACUGGGCAGCUCUUCACGUUUGGGGAUGGAACAUUUGGUGUUUUAGGCCAUGGUGAUAGGGAAAAUGUAUUGUUCCCCCGGGAGGUGAAGUCUUUGUCAGGUCUGAGGACAAUUGCUGCUGCAUGUGGAGUAUGGCAUACUGCUGCUGUAGUUGAAGUUAUCGUGACACAGUCUAGUGCUAGUGUUUCAUCUGGAAAAUUAUUUACUUGGGGAGAUGGAGAUAAAAACCGUCUUGGACAUGGUGAUAAAGAACCUCGACUGGAACCUACUUGUG
rnacentral:misc_RNA from 1 species